rnacentral:rRNA from 1 species
AUUGAACGCUGGCGGCAUGCUUUACACAUGCAAGUCGAACGGCAGCACGGGGGCAACCCUGGUGGCGAGUGGCGAACGGGUGAGUAAUGCAUCGGAACGUGCCCAGUAGUGGGGGAUAACGCGUCGAAAGAUGUGCUAAUACCGCAUAAGCACUACGGUGGAAAGCGGGGGACCGCAAGGCCUCGCGCUAUUGGAGCGGCCGAUGUCCGAUUAGCUAGUUGGUGGGGUAACGGCCUACCAAGGCAACGAUCGGUAGCUGGUCUGAGAGGAUGAUCAGCCACACUGGGACUGAGACACGGCCCAGACUCCUACGGGAGGCAGCAGUGGGGAAUUUUGGACAAUGGGCGCAAGCCUGAUCCAGCCAUGCCGCGUGAGUGAAGAAGGCCUUCGGGUUGUAAAGCUCUUUCGGCCGGAACGAAAUCGUCCGGGCUAACACCUCGGAUGGAUGACGGUACCGGAAGAAGAAGCACCGGCUAACUACGUGCCAGCAGCCGCGGUAAUACGUAGGGUGCAGGCGUUAAUCGGAAUUACUGGGCGUAAAGCGUGCGCAGGCGGCUUCCUAAGUCAGAUGUGAAAUCCCCGGGCUCAACCUGGGAACUGCGUUUGAAACUGGGAGGCUAGAGUGCGGCAGAGGGGGGUGG